AAAGUCGUAACAAGGUUUCCGUAGGUGAACCUGCGGAAGGAUCAUUAACAAAUUCCAAAACUCGUGUUUGACCAGUAGAGUUUCAGUAAUGAGGAUUUAUUGGUCAGUUUACAACACAAACACACAUUACAUUUUACACAUUUGACAACUAAUGGAGAACCUUUAUCGUUAAUCGAAAACAACUUUUAACAAUGGAUCUCUCGGCUCUU
rnacentral:misc_RNA from 1 species